AUUGAACGCUGCGGCAGGCUUAACACAUGCAAGUCGAGCGAGCGGCGGAAGGGUGAGUAAUGCUUAGGAAUCUGCCCAUUAGUGGGGGACAACAUCACGAAAGGGAUGCUAAAACCGCAUACUAAUAGAUGGGCCUAAGUCGGAUUAGCUAGUUGGUGGGGUAAAGGCCUACCAAGGCGACGAUCUGUAGCGGGUCUGAGAGGAUGAUCCGCCACACCUGUACUGAGACACGGCCCAGACUCCUACGGGAGGCAGCAUGGGGGAAUAUUGGACAAUGGGGGGAACCCUGAUCCAGCCAUGCCGCGGGUGUGUAGAAGGCCUUAUGGUUGUAAAGCACGUUAAGCGAGGAGGCGUUACUCGCAGAAUAAGCACCGGCGAACUCUGUGCCAGCAGCCGCGGUAAUAC
rnacentral:rRNA from 1 species